rnacentral:rRNA from 1 species
AUUGAACGCUGGCGGCAGGCCUAACACAUGCAAGUCGAGCGAGCGGCGGACGGGUGAGUAAUGUCUGGGAAACUGCCGGCUGGAGGGGGAUAACUACUGGAAACGGUAGCUAAUACCGCAUACCAUCAGAUGUGCCCAGAUGGGAUUAGCUAGUAGGUGGGGUAACGGCUCACCUAGGCGACGAUCCCUAGCUGGUCUGGGAGGAUGACCAGCCACACUGGAACUGAGACACGGCCCAGACGCCUACGGGAGGCAGCAGUGGGGAAUAUUGCACAAUGGGCGCAAGCCUGAUGCAGCCAUGCCGCGUGUGGGAAGAAGGCCUUCGGGUUGUAAAGCACUUUCAGCGGGGAGGCGGUACCCGCAGAAGAAGCACCGGCUAACUCCGUGCCAGCAGCCGCGGUAAUAC